rnacentral:rRNA from 1 species
AGAGUUUGAUCCUGGCUCAGGAUGAACGCUAGCGGCAGGCCUAAUACAUGCAAGGUGAACGGUAAGUGUUGUAGCAAUACAAUGCCUAGAGUACCGCAAGGGUGCGUAACACGUAUGCAAUCUACCCGCCACAGGAGGAUAGCUCCCCGAAAGGGGAAUUAAUACUCCAUAAGAUCACGCGAGGGCAUCUGAGAGUGAUUAAAUCUACGGAGGUGACGGAUGAGCAUGCGGAUGAUUAGCUAGUUGGUAGUGUAACGGACUACCAAGGCGAUGAUCAAUAGGGGAACUGAGAGGUUUAUCCCCCACACUGGCACUGAGAUACGGGCCAGACUCCUACGGGAGGCAGCAGUAGGGAAUAUUGGACAAUGGGUGCAAGCCUGAUCCAGCCAUGCCGCGUGCAGGAAGAAGGCCUUCUGGGUCGUAAACUGCUUUUCUCUGGGGAUAAAAGGACCCUGCGGGGUACAUUGAAGGUACCAGAGGAAUAAGCCACGGCUAACUACGUGCCAGCAGCCGCGGUAAUACGUAGGUGGCAAGCGUUGUCCGGAUUUAUUGGGUUUAAAGGGUGCGUAGGCGGUUCCAUAAGUCAGUGGUGAAAUACGGCAGCUCAACUGUCGAGGUGCCAUUGAUACUGCGGAACUUGAGUACUGAUGAGGCAGGCGGAAUUGACGGUGUAGCGGUGAAAUGCUUAGAUAUCGUCAAGAACACCGAUAGCGAAGGCAGCUUGCCAAGCAGUAACUGACGCUGAGGCACGAAAGUGCGGGGAUCAAACAGGAUUAGAUACCCUAGUAGUCC